rnacentral:lncRNA from 1 species
CAUACUGAGGCUUGGUAUCAUUAUACCGUUGGAUCAAUUUGUACCUUAGUUGCGGCUAUGAUCGCAUUUGUUGUUGCAUUUAAUUUUAGUAGUUUCAAUAUAUGUUCUAAUUAGAUGCUCUAGAGAGCUAUAUGUUGUUCAAUAAUGAGAACUAUGUAAGAACAAUAUGUAUUUAUUUUGGUCACUACUGUACUUUGGCUUUAAUGUGAU